rnacentral:rRNA from 1 species
GUGGUAAUGCCGGAUGCUCCGGUUGGAUGCAUGUCCUUCCGGGAAAGAUUCUAUCGGUAUGGGAUGGGGUCGCGUCCUAUCAGCUUGAUGGCGGGGUAACGGCCCACCAUGGCUUCGACGGGUAGCCGGCCUGAGAGGGCGACCGGCCACAUUGGGACUGAGAUACGGCCCAGACUCCUACGGGAGGCAGCAGUGGGGAAUAUUGCACAAUGGGCGCAAGCCUGAUGCAGCGACGCCGCGUGCGGGAUGGAGGCCUUCGGGUUGUAAACCGCUUUUGAUCGGGAGCAAGCCCUUCGGGGUGAGUGUACCUUUCGAAUAAGCACCGGCUAACUACGUGCCAGCAGCCGCGGUAAUACGUAGGGUGCAAGCGUUAUCCGGAAUUAUUGGGCGUAAAGGGCUCGUAGGCGGUUCGUCGCGUCCGGUGUGAAAGCCCAUCGCUUAACGGUGGGUCUGCGCCGGGUACGGGCGGGCUGGAGUGCGGUAGGGGAGACUGGAAUUCCCGGUGUAACGGUGGAAUGUGUAGAUA